ensembl:snoRNA small nucleolar RNA U2-30
GAGCAAUGAUGACAAGGUUUGUUGACUACUGAACUUCACAGUUAUGAAGGUUUCUAUACUUGAUCUGAGCUCA